GGCUUCGUGGCUUAGUUGGUUAAAGCGCCUGUGUAGUAAGCAGGAGAGAGGUGAGUUCGAAUCUCGCCGGGGCCU
rnacentral:tRNA from 1 species